rnacentral:pre_miRNA from 1 species
AAUGGGGUUGCUGGGCCAUAUGGUAAGCACAUGUUUAACUUUAGAAGAAACUGCCAAACUGUUUUCCAAAGUGGCUGUACCAUUUUGCAUUCCCACCAAAAGU